rnacentral:misc_RNA from 1 species
AUGAAUGAUAAUUUUUUGGGGUUUUUUAAAUUCCAAAAAAUAAUUCACCUUUUGUGCACUGUUAUAAAAUAUACUUUGGUUAGAGCUUUGAUUUCAUUUAAUGGAAUCAACUUCUUGCUGACUCUAUCCUUUCUGAGGACAGUUGGCUAUGAAGCGGCCUACCAGGGUUUUUUUAUCAAACACAUUUAAUUUAUCUGACCUAAACUAUUAUAAUAAAAUCA